UACGGGGGGGGCAAGCGUUGUUCGGAAUUACUGGGCGUAAAGGGCUCGUAGGUGGCCAACUAAGUCAGACGUGAAAUCCCUCAGCUUAACUGGGGAACUGCGUCUGAUACUGGAUGGCUUGAGUUUGGGAGAGGGAUGCGGAAUUCCAGGUGUAGCGGUGAAAUGCGUAGAUAUCUGGAGGAACACCGGUGGCGAAGGCGGCAUCCUGGACCAACACUGACACUGAGGAGCGAAAGCGUGGGUAGCAAACAGG
rnacentral:rRNA from 1 species